GGCAGGGCUCCACUGCUCUUUCAAAAUGUCAAGGCAAAUACUACCAUUGCUGUUGAUAUUUGGGUGGAAAACCUUUGUUCUGAAUGCCACCUUAGGAGGCUUAAAAGGAUAAUCCGGAGGAAAAUGAAUGGUGACAAGGAAAACACCCCCAGCAUAAGGACUGUCUGGAGGACCCAUUAUGGUAGCUUGCCAAUGAAACAUGUCUUCGGCAACUGGACCAGCGCUACAUGAUGUAGGCGGGUCCUUCUGCAAA
rnacentral:misc_RNA from 1 species